CCUACGGGCGGCAGCAGUGGGGAAUAUUGGGCAAUGGAGGCAACUCUGACCCAGCAACGCCGCGUGAAUGAUGAAGGUCUUCGGAUUGUAAAGUUCUGUGAUGGGGGAUGAACACCAUGACGGUACCCUAAUAGCAAGCCACGGCUAACUACGUGCCAGCAGCCGCGGUACUACGUAGGUUGCAAGCGUUAUCCGGAAUGACUGGGCGUAAAGGGUGCGUAGGGGGUUUAGUAAGUUGGCGGUGUAAUUCCGGGGCUCAACCUCGGCGCUACCGCCAAAACUAUUAGACUAGAGUGCAGGAGGGGUAAGUGGAAUUCCUAGUGUAGCGGUGGAAUGCGUAGAUAUUAGGAGGAACAUCAGGGGCGAAGGCGACUUACUGGACUGUAACUGACACUGAGGCACGAAAGCGUGGGGAGCAAACAGGAUUAGAUACCCCUGUAGUC
rnacentral:rRNA from 1 species